AGCGAACGGGGAGGAGCCCAGAGCCUGAAUCAGUGUGUGUGUUAGUGGAAGCGUCUGGAAAGGCGCGCGAUACAGGGUGACAGCCCCGUACACAAAAAUGCACAUGCUGUGAGCUCGAUGAGUAGGGCGGGACACGUGGUAUCCUGUCUGAAUAUGGGGGGACCAUCCUCCAAGGCUAAAUACUCCUGACUGACCGAUAGUGAACCAGUACCGUGAGGGAAAGGCGAAAAGAACCCCGGCGAGGGGAGUGAAAAAGAACCUGAAACCGUGUACGUACAAGCAGUGGGAGCACAGAGCAAUCUGUGUGACUGCGUACCUUUUGUAUAAUGGGUCAGCGACUUAUAUUCUGUAGCAAGGUUAACCGAAUAGGGGAGCCGAAGGGAAACCGAGUCUUAACUGGGCGUUAAGUUGCAGGGUAUAGACCCGAAACCCGGUGAUCUAGCCAUGGGCAGGUUGAAGGUUGGGUAACACUAACUGGAGGACCGAACCGACUAAUGUUGAAAAAUUAGCGGAUGACUUGUGGCUGGGGGUGAAAGGCCAAUCAAACCGGGAGAUAGCUGGUUCUCCCCGAAAGCUAUUUAGGUAGCGCCUCGUGAAUUCAUCUCCGGGGGUAGAGCACUGUUUCGGCAAGGGGGUCAUCCCGACUUACCAACCCGAUGCAAACUGCGAAUACCGGAGAAUGUUAUCACGGGAGACACACGGCGGGUGCUAACGUCCGUCGUGAAGAGGGAAACAACCCAGACCGCCAGCUAAGGUCCCAAAGUCAUGGUUAAGUGGGAAACGAUGUGGGAAGGCCCAGACAGCCAGGAUGUUGGCUUAGAAGCAGCCAUCAUUUAAAGAAAGCGUAAUAGCUCACUGGUCGAGUCGGCCUGCGCGGAAGAUGUAACGGGGCUAAACCAUGCACCGAAGCUGCGGCAGCGACACUGUGUGUUGUUGGGUAGGGGAGCGU
rnacentral:rRNA from 1 species